rnacentral:rRNA from 1 species
GCUUUGAUCCAGAGAUUUCCGAAUGGGGAAACCCAGCAUGAGUUAUGUCAUGUUAUCGAUAUGUGAAUACAUAGCAUAUCAGAAGGCACACCCGGAGAACUGAAACAUCUUAGUACCCGGAGGAAGAGAAAGAAAAUUCGAUUCCCUUAGUAGCGGCGAGCGAAACGGGAAGAGCCCAAACCAACAAGCUUGCUUGUUGGGGUUGUAGGACACUCUAUACGGAGUUACAAAGGACGACAUUAGACGAAUCAUCUGGAAAGAUGAAUCAAAGAAGGUAAUAAUCCUGUAGUCGAAAAUGUUGUCUCUCUUGAGUGGAUCCUGAGUACGACGGAGCACGUGAAAUUCCGUCGGAAUCUGGGAGGACCAUCUCCUAAGGCUAAAUACUCUCUAGUGACCGAUAGUGAACCAGUACCGUGAGGGAAAGGUGAAAAGCACCCCGGAAGGGGAGUGAAAUAGAACCUGAAACCGUGUGCUUACAAGUAGUCAGAGCCCGUUAAUGGGUGAUGGCGUGCCUUUUGUAGAAUGAACCGGCGAGUUACGAUUUGAUGCAAGGUUAAGCAGUAAAUGUGGAGCCGUAGCGAAAGCGAGUCUGAAUAGGGCGUUUAGUAUUUGGUCGUAGACCCGAAACCAGGUGAUCUACCCUUGGUCAGGUUGAAGUUCAGGUAACACUGAAUGGAGGACCGAACCGACUUACGUUGAAAAGUGAGCGGAUGAACUGAGGGUAGCGGAGAAAUUCCAAUCGAACCUGGAGAUAGCUGGUUCUCUCCGAAAUAGCUUUAGGGCUAGCCUCAAGUGAUGAUUAUUGGAGGUAGAGCACUGUUUGGACGAGGGGCCCCUCUCGGGUUACCGAAUUCAGACAAACUCCGAAUGCCAAUUAAUUUAACUUGGGAGUC